UCAUGCUCUAACCAACUGAGCUAAUCAGCCGCCCCUGGUGUUUCAUUCUUAAGGGAGGAAAAAGAGUCAGCCUCCUGAGAAACGCUGCUCUGGGACCCACCCAGCAUCCUAAGGGUGUGCCUGGACUUUAGGGGGCCUUCUGGAGACUAUCUUCACAAGAGAAGGGAUGACUAAGGACAGGACUUUUCGGUGCCGGGGCCGCCUCAUGAGGAAGCCGUCUUUAAGCUGGGCAAGGCCAUCUGAGAUGAGGAAAAGCUGAAAUCAGUGCCUGGGAUGUCCAAGCUGGCGCUCCGGCAAGGCCCACAGUGAGAAAGUUUCAGCCAAGGCUCCCAGCAUUCUUCAGAUGUUGCAACAGACCCCCUUCUUACCAUGUGAAUUUUCUGGUGUGUCCUUGUCUGACUAUUGGGUGAUGGUGGCUCACAUUGUCAUUUCAUUGUGAGUCAUCAACCUCAGGAAUUUUCCAUCGAGGGCAAGCUCAACCCUGAUGAAACCUUUGAGGCCCCCCUUCAGGCCUAUCUCAUCCCCGACAC